UACGUAGGCAGCAAGCGUUGUUCGGAGUUACUGGGCGUAAAGGGUGUGUAGGCGGUUGGAUAAGUGUGGGGUGAAAUCUCCCGGCUCAACCGGGAGGGUGCGCCGAAUACUGAGGGACUAGAGUGCGGGAGAGGAAAGUGGAAUUCCUGGUGUAGCGGUGAAAUGCGUAGAUAUCAGGAGGAACACCGGUGGUGUAGACGGCUUUCUGGACCGUAACUGACGCUGAGACACGAAAGCGUGGGUAGCAAACAGG
rnacentral:rRNA from 1 species